GACGAACGCUGGCGGCGUGCUUAACACAUGCAAGUCGAACGGAAAGGCCCUGCUUUUGUGGGGUGCUCGAGUGGCGAACGGGUGAGUAACACGUGAGUAACCUGCCCUUGACUUUGGGAUAACUUCAGGAAACUGGGGCUAAUACCGGAUAGGAGCUCCUGCUGCAUGGUGGGGGUUGGAAAGUUUCGGCGGUUGGGGAUGGACUCGCGGCUUAUCAGCUUGUUGGUGGGGUAGUGGCUUACCAAGGCUUUGACGGGUAGCCGGCCUGAGAGGGUGACCGGCGUCAUGGGGACUGAGGUACGGCCCAGACUCCUACGGGAGGCAGCAGUGGGGAAUAUUGCCCAAUGGGCGGAAGCCUGAUGAAGCAACGCCGCGUGCGGGAUGACGGCCUUCGGGUUGUAAACCGCUUUCGCCUGUGACGAAGCGUGAGUGACGGUAAUGGGUAAAGAAGCACCGGCUAACUACGUG
rnacentral:rRNA from 1 species